UUAGAGAACGCCAGCGCGCGUAAGUGCGCACGAGUUGGUGAACGGGAAACCGGUGCAAAUCCGGUACUGACCUCGCAACGGUAAUCGAGUGAUCGGCAGCAGAAUGUCACUGUCUUUUGGGAUGGGAAGGCGCCGCCGAUCAAUACUCGUCAAGUCCGGAGACCGGCCGCUCGAACCUUGUGAAAU
rnacentral:ncRNA from 2 species